rnacentral:rRNA from 1 species
AGAGUUUGAUCCUGGCUCAGAUUGAACGCUGGCGGCAUGCCUUACACAUGCAAGUCGAACGGCAGCAUAGGAGCUUGCUCCUGAUGGCGAGUGGCGAACGGGUGAGUAAUAUAUCGGAACGUGCCCUAGAGUGGGGGAUAACUAGUCGAAAGAUUAGCUAAUACCGCAUACGAUCUACGGAUGAAAGUGGGGGAUCGCAAGACCUCAUGCUCAUGGAGCGGCCGAUAUCUGAUUAGCUAGUUGGUGGGGUAAAAGCUCACCAAGGCGACGAUCAGUAGCUGGUCUGAGAGGACGACCAGCCACACUGGGACUGAGACACGGCCCAGACUCCUACGGGAGGCAGCAGUGGGGAAUUUUGGACAAUGGGCGCAAGCCUGAUCCAGCCAUACCGCGUGGGUGAAGAAGGCCUUCGGGUUGUAAAGCUCUUUUGUCAGGGAAGAAACGGUUGCAGCUAAUAUCUGCGACUAAUGACGGUACCUGAAGAAUAAGCACCGGCUAACUACGUGCCAGCAGCCGCGGUAAUACGUAGGGUGCAAGCGUUAAUCGGAAUUACUGGGCGUAAAGCGUGCGCAGGCGGUUGUGUAAGUCAGAUGUGAAAUCCCCGGGCUCAACCUGGGAAUUGCAUUUGAGACUGCACGGCUAGAGUGUGUCAGAGGGGGGUAGAAUUCCACGUGUAGCAGUGAAAUGCGUAGAUAUGUGGAGGAAUACCGAUGGCGAAGGCAGCCCCCUGGGAUAACACUGACGCUCAUGCACGAAAGCGUGGGGAGCAAACAGGAUUAGAUACCCUGGUAGUCCACGCCCUAAACGAUGUCUACUAGUUGUCGGGUCUUAAUUGACUUGGUAACGCAGCUAACGCGUGAAGUAGACCGCCUGGGGAGUACGGUCGCAAGAUUAAAACUCAAAGGAAUUGACGGGGACCCGCACAAGCGGUGGAUGAUGUGGAUUAAUUCGAUGCAACGCGAAAAACCUUACCUACCCUUGACAUGGAUGGAAUCCUGAAGAGAUUUAGGAGUGCUCGAAAGAGAACCAUCACACAGGUGCUGCAUGGCUGUCGUCAGCUCGUGUCGUGAGAUGUUGGGUUAAGUCCCGCAACGAGCGCAACCCUUGUCAUUAGUUGCUACGAAAGGGCACUCUAAUGAGACUGCCGGUGACAAACCGGAGGAAGGUGGGAAUGACGUCAAGUCCUCAUGGCCCUUAUGGGUAGGGCUUCACACGUCAUACAAUGGUACAUACAGAGGGCCGCCAACCCGCGAGGGGGAGCUAAUCCCAGAAAGUGUAUCGUAGUCCGGAUUGGAGUCUGCAACUCGACUCCAUGAAGUUGGAAUCGCUAGUAAUCGCGGAUCAGCAUGUCGCGGUGAAUACGUUCCCGGGUCUUGUACACACCGCCCGUCACACCAUGGGAGUGGGUUGCACCAGAAGUAGCUAGUCUAACCUUCGGGAGGACGGUUACCACGGUGUGAUUCAUGACUGGGGUGAAGUCGUAACAAGGUAACC